GCCACCGCUAUAGGRAUUCGAUUAAGACAUGCGAGUCGAGAGUCUUCGGGACUCGGCGGACUGCUCAGUAACACGUGGAUAACAUGCCCUUAGGAGGGGGAUAAUCUCGAGAAAUUGAGGAUAAUACCCCAUAGGCCAUGAAUGCUGGAAUGCUUUAUGGCCCAAAGCUCCGGCGCCUAAGGAUUGGUCUGCGGCCUAUCAGGUUGUAGUGGGUGUAACGGACCCACUAGCCUAUGACGGGUAUGGGCCUUGAGAGAGGGAGCCCAGAGAUGGACUCUGAGACACGAGUCCAGGCCCUACGGGGCGCAGCAGUCGCGAAACCUUCACACUGGGGGAAACCCUGAUGAGGGAAUUCCUAGUGCCUGCAUUUUUUGUAGGCUUUUAUCUAGUGUAGAUAGCUAGAAGAAUAAGGGCCGGGUAAGACGGGUGCCAGCCGCCGCGGUAAUACCCGCGGCCCAAGUGGUGGUCGAUAUUAUUGAGUCUAAAACGUCCGUAGCCGGUUCAGUAAAUCUUUGGGUAAAUCGGCCAGCUUAACUGACCGAAUUCCGAAGAGACUGCUGAACUUGGGACCGGGAGAGGCCAGAGGUACUUCUGGGGUAGGGGUAAAAUCCUGUAAUCCUAGAAGGACCACCGGUGGCGAAGGCGUCUGGCUAGAACGGAUCCGACGGUGAGGGACGAAGCCCUGGGGCGCAAACGGGAUUAGAUACCCCGGUAGUCCAGGGUGUAAACGCUGCAGGCUUGGUGUUGGGGGUCCUUCGGGGGCGCCCAGUGCCGGAGAGAAGUUGUUAAGCCUGCUACUUGGGGAGUACGUCCGCAAGGAUGAAACUUAAAGGAAUUGGCGGGAGSACGCWCGCGCAACGGGAGGAGCGUGCGGUUUAAUG
rnacentral:rRNA from 1 species